UCGAGAAUCUUUCGCAAUGCCCGAAAGGGUGACGAAGCGACGCCGCGUGCGGGAAGAAGGCCUUCGGGUUGUAAACCGCUGUCGGGAGUUAAGAAAUGCAAGGAUGUUAAUAGCAUCUUUGCUUGACUAAGGCUCCGGAGGAAGCCACGGCUAACUCUGUGCCAGCAGCCGCGGUAAUACAGAGGCGGCAAGCGUUGUUCGGAAUUAUUGGGCGUAAAGAGCACGUAGGCGGCUGUGUAAGUCGGUUGUGAAAGCCUUCCGCUUAACGGAAGAACGGCAUCCGAUACUGCAUAGCUCGAGUGCGGGAGGGGAGAGUGGAACUUCUGGUGGAGCGGUGAAAUGCGUAGAUAUCAAGAGGAACACCUGAGGUGAAGACGGGUUGCUGGGCUGACACUGACGCUGAGGCGCGAAAGCCAGGGGAGCAAACGGGAUUAGAUACCCUGGUAGUCCUGAGCGGGCUGGCAAGGCGCAU
rnacentral:rRNA from 1 species